GACGAACGCUGGCGGCGUGCUUAACACAUGCAAGUGGAGCGACGAACCAGGCUUCGGCCUGGGGCAAAGCCGCGAACGGGUGAGUAACACGUGGGUAACCUGCCCCGAUGACUGGGACAACCCGAGGAAACUCGGGCUAAUACCGGAUGUGCUCUCCUCACACCAGUGAGGCGAGUAAAGGUAGCUUCGGCCUCCUCAUCGGGAUGGGCCCGCGGCCCAUUAGCUUGUUGGUGAGGUAACGGCUCACCCAGGCUGCGAUGGGUCGCUGGUCUGAGAGGACGUUCAGCCACGCUGGGACUGAGACACGGCCCAGACUUCUACGAGAGGCAGCAGUGGGGAAUUGUUCGCAAUGGGCGCAAGCCUGACGACGCAACGCCGCGUGGGGGAUGAAGGUCUUCGGAUUGUAAACCCCUGUUGGGUGGGACGAACACUUCCGUGGUGAACAUCCACGGAGGCCGACGGUACCAUCUGAGGAAGCCCCGGCUAACUCUGUGCCAGCCGCCGCCGUAAGAC
rnacentral:rRNA from 1 species